rnacentral:rRNA from 1 species
UAGGGAAUCUUCGGCAAUGGGGGGAACCCUGACCGAGCAACGCCGCGUGAGUGAAGAAGGUUUUCGGAUCGUAAAGCUCUGUUGUUAAGGAAGAACGAGUGUGAGAAUGGAAAGUUCAUGCUGUGACGGUACUUAACCAGAAAGGGACGGCUAACUACGUGCCAGCAGCCGCGGUAAUACGUAGGUCCCGAGCGUUGUCCGGAUUUAUUGGGCGUAAAGCGAGCGCAGGCGGUUAGAAAAGUCUGAAGUGAAAGGCAGUGGCUCAACCAUUGUAGGCUUUGGAAACUGUUUAACUUGAGUGCAGAAGGGGAGAGUGGAAUUCCAUGUGUAGCGGUGAAAUGCGUAGAUAUAUGGAGGAACACCGGUGGCGAAAGCGGCUCUCUGGUCUGUAACUGACGCUGAGGCUAGAAAGCGUGGGGAGCGAACAGG